ensembl:snoRNA
UAACACAGAAGAGUAAGGUAAGUCUCCAUUAAACACAGGAAAGAGACUGGAAAACUCCUCUUUGGAUCCUGUCUAUAGUCGCAGGU